UCUUUAGUAGCUCAGUGGUAGAGCGGAUGGCUGUUAACCAUUAGGUCGUUGGUUCAAUCCCAACCUAAAGAG
rfam:Nannochloropsis gaditana mitochondrion, complete genome.